AGCUUUGCACAUUGGCAGUAUCGCAGCCAAUGAGAUUUAUCCAAGGCAUGAUUAUUGCUAAUAAAAAGCUUAUAUUAGGAAAAAAUAUCUGUAAUCAAUCAUCUAUG
ensembl:snRNA RNU4-61P RNA, U4 small nuclear 61, pseudogene